rnacentral:rRNA from 1 species
GACGUAGGGCGCGAGCGUUGUCCGGAUUUAUUGGGCGUAAAGAGCUCGUAGGCGGCUUGUUGCGUCAGCUGUGAAAACCCGCAGCUCAACUGUGGGCUUGCAGCUGAUACGGGCAGGCUUGAGUUCGGUAGGGGAGACUGGAAUUCCAGGUGUGAGCGGUGGAAAUGACGUAGAGAUCUGGAGGAACACCGAUGGCGAAGGCAGCCUUCUGGGCCAACACUGACGCUCAUGCACGAAAGCGUGGGGAGCAAACAGG